UCCUCCUCCUCCUCCUCCCCACCCCCCACCGGCGGGAUGACAGGCACCUCGCUCAGGUCUGUGUGAAAAGUCCCUCUCUGAGGAUACGGAUGCCGAGGGAACAGAAGGAACAUGGGGGAAGAAUCGUGGGACCACCCCAUGGGUCACAGCACAGUGUCAGGCAAAGCCACCACAGAGCUCAGUUCCUUUGGCACUGGGCCACCAUCUGAAGUUAAGUCCCCAGAGAAGUUCUUCUCCGUGGGUUACGUCACGACCGCGCCACAGCAGCUCUCAGACAGCCUUCAUUCCAAAUCCCACCAUCAUCUGGAGGGAGCAGCUUGUGUUUCUCCUGUCAGAAAGGUGCUGCUGAGUAACUAAUGUGGUCCAGCUCUUUUUAGGCCAGAGGGGUUGCCAAGGUAACCCGUUCCAAUGGAGAUAGAUCGGCUUUUGAGUCAUCCUCAGAGCCAGCUUCCAUAGUAGAAGGUUUGGAUUGACAGCCAGUGC
rnacentral:lncRNA from 1 species